GACGAACGCUGGCGGCGUGCUUAACACAUGCAAGUCGAACGGACUGGCCUUGAGCUUGCUUGGGGUUGGUGAGUGGCGAACGGGUGAGUAACACGUGAGUAACCUGCCCUCUUCUUUGGGAUAACGGUCGGAAACGGCUGCUAAUACUGGAUAUUCACUCAUUGGCGCAUGUUGGUGGGUGGAAAGAUGCACUUUUGGUGUUUUUGGUGGGGGAUGGGCUCGCGGCCUAUCAGCUUGUUGGUGGGGUGAUGGCCUACCAAGGCUUUGACGGGUAACCGGCCUGAGAGGGUGACCGGUCACAUUGGGACUGAGAUACGGCCCAGACUCCUACGGGAGGCAGCAGUGGGGAAUUUUGCACAAUGGGCGCAAGCCUGAUGCAGCGACGCCGCGUGAGGGAUGGAGGCCUUCGGGUUGUGAACCUCUUUCGCUCAUGGUCAAGCCGCGACUUUGGGUUGUGGUGAGGGUAGUGGGUAAAGAAGCGCCGGCUAACUACGUGCCAGCAGCCGCGGUAAUACGUAGGGCGCGAGCGUUGUCCGGAAUUAUUGGGCGUAAAGGGCUUGUAGGCGGUUGGUCGCGUCUGCCGUGAAAUCCUCUGGCUUAACUGGGGGCGUGCGGUGGGUACGGGUCGACUUGAGUGCGGUAGGGGAGACUGGAAUUCCUGGUGUAGCGGUGGAAUGCGCAGAUAUCAGGAGGAACACCGGUGGCGAAGGCGGGUCUCUGGGCCGUUACUGACGCUGAGGAGCGAAAGCGUGGGGAGCGAACAGG
rnacentral:rRNA from 1 species